GGAGACGUGCGGGAGCGGACUAACCGGCACGCCUGGAGAGCGUGUGACCUCGCAAGAGGUCCAAGGGUUCAAAUCCCUUCGUCUCCG
rnacentral:tRNA from 1 species